rnacentral:rRNA from 1 species
GGGGGGGGGGGGGGGGGGGGGGGGGGCGGGGGGGGCGAGCGGGAGGGGCCGGCGGGGGGGGGGUGCUCGAGGGGGGAACGGGUGAGUAACACGGGCGUAACCGGCCCUUGACGUUGGGAUAGCUUCAGGAAACUGGGGCUCAUACCGGAGAGGAGCUCCUGCUGCGUGGUGUGGGUUGGAAAGUUUCGGCGGUUGGGGAUGGACUCGCGGCUUAUCAGCUUUGUGGUGGGGUAGUGGCUUACCAAGGCUUUGACGGGUAGCCGGCCUGAGAGGGUGACCGGCCACAUUGGGACUGAGAUACGGCCCAGACUCCUACGGGAGGCAGCAGUGGGGAAUAUUGCACAAUGGGCGGAAGCCUGAUGCAGCAACGCCGCGUGCGGGAUGACGGCCUUCGGGUUGUAAACCGCUUUCGCCUGUGACGAGGCGUGAGUGACGGUAAUGGGUAAAGAAGCACCGGCUAACUACGUG